CUUCAUUCUUAGUUUUUAUUUGCUAUUUUCUUUUUACAUGUUUGUGGAAAGUUGCAUCAAUAAAUUUUGUGUCUGAUAUCCCCAUAUUCAAAAGUUGAGAAAAAAAGAGAGAAAGGUCAAAAAAAAAAAAUUAAGAAAAACAGAAAAAUAAUAAAUUUGUGAAAAGAAUUACGAAUGGGGAGCCCAGGAAUAAGCACCCGAAAUAAUGGGGGUAAGCAACAGCGGUUAGGCAUUACAGAGCCCAUUUCCUUGGGUGGACCAACAGAGUACGACGAGAUAAAGACCCGAGAACUUGAAAAGUUUUUGCAAGAUGUGGGACUGCAUGAGAGUCAGGAGGAAGCUGUGCUUAGAGAGGAAGUGCUUGGGAGGCUAGACCAGAUUGUGAAGAAUUGGGUCAAAGCUAUUAGCCGCUCAAAAGGGUUGAAUGAGCAACUUGUACAAGAAGCAAAUGCUAAGAUUUUCAC
rnacentral:misc_RNA from 1 species